rnacentral:lncRNA from 1 species
UUCUUUCCUCCUUCUAUGUCUCACGCCAACCAUCCCUCCCUCUAGAAUUCUAUUUCCUUUAAUUUUCACCUAUAAUAAUAAUAAAGCCCUACCCCGUUUUAAGUAUUUUAACCCUUGAUCACUGAUGCCCUGUCCGACUGACGUAGGGCCCCGUAACGUAUGUCAAGGCUCUGCCUAAAUUCGUUGGGGUUCUGUCUCGUGACGUAGGGAUAAAGUAGAAUUGGGUCACUAUACUUAAUGUGAGUGCACUAUAUAUUUUAUUAAAUAAUCCAGGAGUUGUACCCAAAAUAUAGCAACCCUCCCGAAUAUUUUCCUGACACCCUACACUUCCUAAAAUACACCCCGUAUGUGAAAACCGAGCCCGAAAUACAACAUAGCAUUAACAGUAAAUGAAAAACAAGAAAUAGUAAGUUGAGGCGGGCCGCGUAGACCCACCCCAACCGUUCACGCGGGCCGUAUGAAGGUGUAACCGGAUCCCUUUGAUUUCUUAAGUCCAGGCGGGCCGCGUAAGGCCACACCGUUAGUUUACGCGGGCCGCGAGUGUCCCUAUUGGUGGCGCAGCCCGGUGAUGACACGUGUCAUCAUCGUGGCGGGUCUAGAGGGUGAGCCGGACAAGCUAGUCCAUUGACCAGGGUUGACGCGGGCCGCGUAACCCCUGUCCUUUCUUUACGCGGGCCGCGUGGGAACCAAUUUCAGCAACUAUAUAAGCAGGCCAUCGGAUUUCAUUCGAAUUCGUUCAAACGUUCUUUCUCAAAUCUCAAUUUCUAAAUAGUGGGCAUUAUACUCGGGUAUUAUACCCCCCCUAAUUAGCGAAGCUCUGCCUCGUUAUAAGUAUCAUAACCCCUGGAUACGUAUUAGAUACUCUGCCCGAUUGAUCUAGGGUUCCGUAACGGCUGUCGUGGUUCUGCCCGACGUAGUCGUUGGAAUGCCGUCUCGGGGAGAACUAUAACCAGGGAAUCACAAAGGAAAGCCCUAUGAUAGCAUUGUGAGUUGAUCAUUCUUUUUAUGAACUCAUUUUUGUGAGUUGAUUCGCUUUUUGUAAACCUUUUGUUUACUGUUUUUACAAAACCUCACUUAAUUAAAUAUAUAUAAAGCAGUUUUUGAGUAUUUGUAAAGAAUACAAUUAUAGUGGGUAUGUUGGGGUUUUGUAUACAAAAUUGGUUACUGGCGUGGUAACAUCCCAUAAGUUGAGUAUGACCGUACCACUGAUGUUAAUUGUGAUGUCUUGGAUACAAAUGUAAUUGCGGAUGUGCCCUCAAUACUGCAAAUUGGUUUUAUUUAAACCUGAUUAAACUAGGAUUCACUCACCAGUAUUUCCUGCUGAUAAAAUGUUUUAAACACGUGUUUCAGGUAACUUAGUAUGAAGCCAAUAAAAGCCAGCUGGAGAGCACUGAAGGCUUGGAAAAGUGGCAAUAAAGUUACCUAAAAUAAAACAGAUGUUUUUAAAUAAAAAUAGGAUUUAUUCCUAUGAAAGUGUGUAUACUGAAAACUUGGGUUUUACCCAUGUGUUUAAUAUUAUGAAAAUAUGGUGGUUU